rnacentral:rRNA from 1 species
UCGGGUGGCCAUGGCGAGGGGGAAACACCCGUUCCCAUCUCGAACACGGCAGUUAAGCCCCUCAGCGGCGAAAGUAGUUGGCUGGCAACGGCCUGCAAGGCUAGCACGCUGCCCGGA